CAAAGUUAUCAGAAAGUGGGUCCUGCAAUUGAGACUGAAAGAAAGGUGUGGUAAAGUCAUUCAGCAUGUGUGCUUGUCACCAUGGCAGGCCGAGACACUGGUCUAUCCAGGAAGGGAGAAGAAAAUGGUAAAGUCUAGCCUGCACCAAAUCACAGUAUCUGACAUCCGCACUGAGCACCCCGGGCCGUAGAGUCACCCACAACUGUGUCCCGCUCUGGCUCCCAGGCAGUGCCUGAAAUACACUCUUGUGAAUUUCCCUCAACUAAAUGAUUUAUCUCCAA
rnacentral:lncRNA from 1 species